rnacentral:rRNA from 1 species
UACGGAAGGCAGCAGUGGGGAAUAUUGCACAAUGGGCGCAAGCCUGAUGCAGCCAUGCCGCGUGUAUGAAGAAGGCCUUCGGGUUGUAAAGUACUUUCAGUCGUGAGGAAGGUGUUAAGGUUAAUAACCUUAGCAAUUGACGUUAGCGACAGAAGAAGCACCGGCUAACUCCGUGCCAGCAGCCGCGGUAAUACGGAGGGUGCGAGCGUUAAUCGGAAUUACUGGGCGUAAAGGGCACGCAGGCGGUUAAUUAAGUUGGAUGUGAAAUCCCCGGGCUUAACCUGGGAAUGGCAUUCAAGACUGGUUAGCUAGAGUCUUGUAGAGGGGGUAGAAUUCCAUGUGUAGCGGUGAAAUGCGUAGAGAUGUGGAGGAAUACCGGUGGCGAAGGCGGCCCCUGGACAAAGGCUGACGCUCAUGUGCGAAGGCGUGGGGAGCAAACG